rnacentral:lncRNA from 1 species
UACCAAAAGUGUUCCCGAAAUAACAUAAAGCAUAUGUACUAUCCCACACAGAAAAGCCAUCAAAAUUGAAUUUCGGAGUGGUUUUAUGUAGAUGAAUUUAUUGUGAAUGAAUGCAACCAGCCUCCUUUUCUGCUGCCCUGGUGUGUUUGGAGCCUACCCGUCGGCAUUAACUGCGUAAUGUGGUCCCUAGGAGGGAAUGGCUGAAGUGAUAAUCGUGAUGCAGCAGGCUCGCUUUCCAUGGGAGGAGGUGAUCCUGCUGGGCUGCCACGUGCCACUCC